rnacentral:lncRNA from 1 species
GACAAGUAAUGUGUGAUGAAAAGGAUGGAAAUCCAUGCUUACAACAGAGGAACCCUGAUGCAUGGUACAAGCUACAGCUCUUGGUAGGUCGUCGAGUGACCAUGUGGCUUGUUGAGAAGGAACAGGAUAUGUAGCCUGAAAAAUUAAAAUUAAACUCAAAAGCAGUAGCUUUUAACCUAGAAAACAAAAACAAAGCAUGAUAACUCAUAACUUCAUGCAAUGUACAUAGAUUUUGCAAGAAUACCUCAUCAACAGACUGUGAAGCCCGCAAACGUUUCUUUAGUUGCUCAUGAUCAGAGCUUGGAUAAUCAAUCAUUCCAAGUGUAUUUGAAGGUGCUCUUGGAUGUUUCAAAACAGAAACUGUUGUAAUGGAUAGUACAUGAUGUCAGGAAUAUCAAGUUAAAAGCUUAUACGGUAGAAAAUUCCCAUCUGGACUCCAUGCCACACGGCUGACAGAUAUCGAUGAAUCUUUGACAAUAGCAGCCUGUAAAAGAAACUCGAUUACAUAUAGCAAAUACUAAUACUUUAUCGGAAUUCAAGCAGGGCCACAGCAUCGGAAAGCAUACCAACUUCAAUUAUCCAAUCAGAAGGAAAUUACCACUUCAAUAAUUUGACAUUCAGCUUUAGUUUUCAAGAAAAAUUUUCUUAACGAGAAACAGACUAGGAUAGACAAAUGACAGUAACCAGUGACGCCAUAACUUAUCCUUUUCAACUAAUUUAAUCUAGAGAUUAAUACUCGAAAAAGAAUGACAUGACAUAAAUUUAGGCCAAAUACAAAUCAGUUUAUUUAAAAAUUUUGAAUAUGAGAAGCAUGAUUUGAAAUAUUUUGGUUAACUGAUCAGAUAACAACCUGUAACAUCAUAGAACAGUUUGACAUAUCCCAUAUCUUGAAUGGCUUGGAAACCAGCCUCUCACGCAGCCCCACAUCCCAUAGUGUAAUUUCACCAUCUCCACAACCAACUGCCCAUGAAAAUUUGAACCCAGUCAGUCAAAAAAGUCAAGCUGCAGAGCGCCUAAAUUAAAACUGGUAGAAUCAAACAGUUGACUGGCAUAGAAGGUUAGCAUCCAACCUACCGACAAGUAAUGUGUGAUGAAAAGGAUGGAAAUCCAUGCUUACAACAGAGGAACCCUGAUGCAUGGUACAAGCUACAGCUCUUGGUAGGUCGUCGAGUGACCAUGUGGCUUGUUGAGAAGGAACAGGAUAUGUAGCCUGAAAAAUUAAAAUUAAACUCAAAAGCAGUAGCUUUUAACCUAGAAAACAAAAACAAAGCAUGAUAACUCAUAACUUCAUGCAAUGUACAUAGAUUUUGCAAGAAUACC